rnacentral:rRNA from 1 species
AAGCAACGGCUAACUACGUGCCAGCAGCCGCGGUAAUACGUAGGUUGCAAGCGUUGUCCGGAUUUACUGGGUGUAAAGGGCGUGUAGGCGGAGGUGCAAGUUGGGAGUGAAAUCCCGGGGCUCAACCCGGAACUGCUUUCAAAACUGCAUCCCUUGAGUGUCGGAGAGGCAAGCGGAAUUCCUAGUGUAGCGGUGAAAUGCGUAGAUAUUAGGAGGAACACCAGUGGCGAAGGCGGCUUGCUGGACGAUAACUGACGCUGAGGCGCGAAAGCGUGGGGAGCAAACAGGAUUAGAUACCCUGGUAGUCCACGCUGUAAACGAUGAAUACUAGGUGUGGGAGGACUGACCCCUUCCGUGCCGCAGUUAACACAAUAAGUAUUCCACCUGGGGAGUACGACCGCAAGGUUGAAACUCAAAGGAAUUGACGGGGGCCCGCACAAGCAGUGGAUUAUGUGGUUUAAUUCGACGCAACGCGAAGAACCUUACCAGGACUUGACAUCCAACUAACGAAGUAGAGAUACAUUAGGUGCCCUUCGGGGAAAGUUGAGACAGGUGGUGCAUGGUUGUCGUCAGCUCGUGUCGUGAGAUGUUGGGUUAAGUCCCGCAACGAGCGCAACCCCUAUUGUUAGUUGCUACGCAAGAGCACUCUAGCGAGACUGCCGCUGACAAAACGGAGGAAGGCGGGGACGACGUCAAAUCAUCAUGCCCCUUAUGUCCUGGGCUACACACGUAAUACAAUGGUCGUUAACAAAGGGAAGCAAUACCGCGAGGUGGAGCAAAUCCCCAAAAACGAUCUCAGUUCGGAUUGCA